rnacentral:lncRNA from 1 species
UCGUAGAUAUUUUCUUCUCUCUCUUCAUCUUUUUGUGUCUCUCUGGCCACAACAUUACACUUAAUUCACUUCUGCCUAAAGCCUUCUUCACCUCGACACUUCUCCUUUAUCGGGAAACUGCGAUUACGCAUCGAGAUCUUCAUAUCUCAUCGCUCUUCCUCUAAAUUCACAUGUAAAACAUUGUUGCCUUUGUUCAUUAGGUGCUGAAAGAAUCUCCAAGACGCAGGUGAUUCUCGUCUGCUUUCUCUACUUUGGCUUUUGUGAUUUUCGAAUUGUUCAUAUGAUUUUGUGGUUUGAUUGGAUUAUUUCAUUGAUCUGUUGGAGGAGAGUUUGACUUGGCUUAUGUUGGACGUACAUGCAUUACAUUCUGUUGUUUUCAGCUAGUUUUUGUUGUGAGAAGUUAUUCACACGUUUUCGUGUAUUUUCGUAUACAAUCUCUCAUCUCUGUGAUGUUUUUGUCAUAAGCGAAUGAUCCUUUGUUUCGUUUUGGUUUCUAUUUGAUUAGCUGCUUUUGAUUUCUUGGGUAUAGUUUCUGGUAUUAAUUUAAUCUGCUUUCUAUUUGAUAUCCAGCCAAUCGAAAUUGUGAAAGGGUUUAAGGUUCUUGAAGCCAAAAUCUACUGCUCCACAAUCUAUAAGGUGAAAUAAAGUAGAAAUAUGAUUCUGUUGAACUCAUAGUGCUAAUUGAUGGUGUUUGAUUUUAUGGUUUUAGUUCUUCGUGCGAUUCCUUGCUUGAUACCAAUCCUGUCAUAUUACCAAGGGAUAUAUAAUUAUUGAAGCUAUGGCGACUGUCUCCACUAUACAUAAGGUACAAUUUAUAAAUUCACCACAUUCAUAGUUUUGAUCAUCAAAUUCAUCAGAAACGUUUGUUUUCAAUUCGUUUUCAGCUUCUCAUGGUUAUGCAAAUUACUGUGAAUUUAUAAUUUGUGAUUCUGCAUCUCUUUGUCUGAUUGAACUUUGCUUGUUUUCACCUAGUAUUAUGAUGAAUAAUAAAUUAUUUCUAGACAUAUGGUUUGACGGACAUGUCUUCACUUUUACUAUGAAUUAUCUUCCCCACCCCCAAUAAAUGGCGAUUUUAAUAUUCAAUUUUACUGAAGCAUCAAUUUGGACAUGUCUCAUGUGUAUCAGUUUUAUCUUUAUCUAACAAGCAUUAGUAGGGAGUCUAGGGACUACAGCUGCGACAUCAAUUACCACAAUAUUAGCUCGAGCUAACCUUAACAUUUAUUGCUUCUGCCUUCAGCCAUUAUUACAAUGAUCAUGAGACUAUGUACAUAAAAAUCUCUAGUCUUUCCGUAUGAUCUUAAUGAUCAGGAUGGCCAUAUUGUGAACCACAGCAUUUCUAGUUCAUUUGAGCCAUUCUCUCUUUGGAUUGUAUGACAACAUUGGCAUAAAACUGGUAAACAACUUCUGUGUGCAACGUGUCAUUGCUGCAGUUGAAGCCUGUUUCAAGUGUCAAUUUUAUGGUCAUUUGAUAAGACAAACAAUGGCUGAAACCAUUUUUAGGGUGUGUGUGUGUGUGUGUGUGUUAAUUAGGGAUGCAUAGAGCUAACCCGAAAUUCAUCACAUCUUUUGGUGCACCAUUUGUUUGCUUUUGUGGCUGGCUUAGCUCAAGAUUAAUAGGUAUAAAAGGAUAUCCAUCGUUGAUGCUGUGCAUAUUCUGGGGAACCCUGUUUUCUUCGCUUGUGCUUCCCGGGCCAUAAACCUAAAUCAGAACUUGCUUUAAUUUAGACCGAAAUUUACUUUGACAGUUGACUUCUGGCCUACAUUUUAUUCAUCAUACAAGUUUGAUACUUAGUCGUAGUCUGUCAAUACCUUUUUCUUCAAAUCCUCAUUUUCCUUGGCAACAAGAUUCAUCUUCUUGUGAAGUUCCAUAUUCUCUUGAUGGAUGACGUUUCCCUGUAACAAGAUCAAUGAUGCUAUCCCCAAUUCUAAACAUGAAUAUAAAAUAGAAACUCUAGCUUGUUAAUUGUCUCAAAAGUGGACCUUCUGAUUUAAGUCGUUGAUUUGAGUAGUCAGAGUUUGUUCCUGCGAGAGAUAAAUAAAUUAAAUUAAAACUUAUAUGAGAACCUGUCCAUAUAGUUAUGCUAGACAUGAUUGUUACUUGCCUUUUUCACACGAACGCCUUUCAAGCUCAUCUCUAGUUGAUUUUCCAGAUUUUGGAGGUCUCUGAUGUUCAAUCCAGCAAGUUCUUCUCCCAAAAGCUUCCUGCAACCGCAACAGAAGAGGCAAGUCAUUUCAGAUAAAAGAUGAGAGGUAUCAGCAUUUUUUAGGAGGCCCUGUGCCUAUUGUAGUCCUACUAACU